rnacentral:rRNA from 1 species
AUUGAACGCUGGCGGCAUGCCUAACACAUGCAAGUCGAACGAGUGGCGGACGGGUGAGUAAUGUUUGGGAAACUGCCCGAUGGUGGGGGAUAACUACUUGAAACGGUAGCUAAUAACGCAUACCAUAGGAUGGGCCCAGAUGGGAUCAGAUCGGUGGUGGGGUAACGGCUUACCUAGGCGACGAUGCCUAGCUGGUCUGAGAGGAUGACCGGCCACACUGGGACUGAGACACGGUCCAGACUCCUACGGGAGGCAGCAGUGGGGAAUUUUGCACAAUGGGCGAAAGCCUGAUGCAGCCAUGCCGCGUGUGUGAAGAAGGUUUUCGGGUUGUAAAGUUCUUUCAGUGGGGAGGCGGUACUCGCAGAAGAAGCACCGGCUAACUACGUGCCAGCAGCCGCGGUAAUUC